rnacentral:rRNA from 1 species
GGGUGAGUAACACGUGGAUAACCUACCUAUAAGACUAGGAUAACUUCGGGAAACCGGAGCUAAUACCGGAUAAUAUUUUGAACCGCAUGGUUCAAAAGUGAAAGACGGUCUUGCUGUCACUUAUAGAUGGAUCCGCGCUGCAUUAACUAGUUGGUAAGGUAACGGCUUACCAAGGCAACGAUGCAUAGCCGACCUGAGAGGGUGAUCGGCCACACUGGAACUGAGACACGGUCCAG